UUUUAUUGUACUUCACUUUACUGCACUUCUCAGACACUGUGUUUUUUUUACAAAUUGAAGGUUUGUGGCAAACCUGCAUUGUCAAAUGAC